AGAGGAGGAUGAGGACAACCCCAGAAGGAGGGCUGGGGAUUAAAGCUGUGAGCUGAGACAACCCAGACCGCUAUCCACAAUGAUCUGGCUGCUCUGUCUUUCCAGAAAUGAUGUCUAUUUAACUCUAAUGAUGAAUGUUGGGUUCUGAAGUCUUGUGUGGUGAGGUGCAUUCUAUUCUGCGUCCACAGGGCGGCGACACAACACUGAGAUCCCUGAUGUUUGCCUUGCCCAAAGCCCCGCCCUGCUUGCUGCCUCAGGUUCUCACUGUCCUAUCAAAUAAAAAGAAAAAAGAAGAGGAAAAGGAGGGGAAAUAUGGCUGGUGGAAGUGGUGAUUCAUCCCAUCAUCACAGAGACCAAUGAAUAACCCAGGUGGCAGCAGGAAAGAGGAAUACAAGAAGAAAGAAAGGCAGGGAGAGAAAGACUGCAAAUGUCCUUUACAACCAGUCACCAGAUGAGAAAGCCUGCCUGGAGGAAGCUUCACAGCAGACGGAGCCAUACUGUGGUCUCUCUCUCUCCCUCUCUCUGUCUCUAUCCCCCAUAUAUAUUCAUAUCUUCCUGUCCACAUUUCUCCUCAUUGGCUCUCAGCUCCAAAUUAAAAACAAAAAAAGCAGUCAAUCAUGAUCCCUGGAAACUACCAGGUGCCUAACUAAAGAAAGAUGAUCAUGGGAAAUGAACUGAUAUAUUCUAAACACCAGGUACUCAAUACAACAUAAGUAACAAACCAAAAAGAUGGUUUCUGAGAGCAACUUUGCAGUUCACAUAGUAAAGGCCACUGUGCAAAAAGCCACAUUGGGGGGGGGGAAGACAGCAUAAUGGUUAUGCAGAGACUCUCAUAGAGACUUUCAUGACGACCCAGGUGCAUUCCCCUGAAGGACCAUAAGCCAGAGCUAAGCAGUGCUCUGAUAAAAAUUUAAAAAAUCAAAAGAAAUCAAAAGCCACAUUAUACAAAAUGCUUAGAAACAACCUGGCCUGUGGUGUUUUGCUGCCACCUCGUGGACACACUAAAUAAUGCAUCUGCAUAGAAAAGUUCAUGACUCUCCACAAUUUCUUCAGAUAAUAAAUAUAUCUACAGGAAAAUUAAUUUAAAAAACAUUAUUUCAAAAAUGCACUGUGUACAAAACCUGAACGCUCCUUCCCACAAAAUGCUUAGAAACCCACAAAGAGCUUAGAAACCACCUGGGUUGUGGUGUGUUGCUGCCGCCUUGUGGACACACCGCAGAAUGCAUCUGAACAGAGACACAGCUGGGUGGCCCUCAAUCCACGGACUCCUCAGAAACAACAGGGACUGGGAGUCGGGCGGUAGCGCAGCGGGUUAAAUGCACAGGACGUGUAGCACAAGGACCAGAGUUCUCUCUGCCCUAUCAAACAAAAAGAAAAAAGAAGAGGAAAAGGAGGGGAAAUAUAGCUGGUGGAAGUGAUGAUUCAUCCCAUCAUCACAGAGACCAAUGAAUAACCCAGGUGGCAACAGGAAAGAGGAAUACAAGAAGAAAGAAAGGCAGGGAGAGAAAGACUGCAAAUGUCCUUUACAACCAGUCACCAGAUGAGAAAGCCUGCCUGGAGGAAGCUUCACAGGAGACGGAGCCAUACUGUGGUUGGUCUCUCUCUCCCCCAUCGGCAUUCAUAUCUUCCUGUCCACAUUUCUACCUCAUUGGCUCUCACCUCCAAAUUAAAAACAAAAAAGCAGGUAAUCAUGAUCCGUGGAAACUACCAGGUGCCUCACUAAAGAAAGAUGAUCAUGGGAAAUGAACUGAUAUAUUCUAAACACCAGGUACUCAAUACAACAUAAGUAACAAACCAAAAAGAUGGUUUCUGAGAGCAACUUUGCAGUUCACAUAGUAAAGGCCACUGUGCAAAAAGCCACAUUAGGGAGGGGGGGGAAGGCAGCAUAAUGAUUAUGCAGAGACUCUCAUAGAGACUUUCAUGACUACACUCCAAAGUCCCAGGUGCAUUCCCCUGCAGGACCGUAAACCAGAGCUGAGCAAUGCUCUGAUAAAAAUUAAAAAAUCAAAAGAAAUCAAAAGCCACAUUAUACAAAAUGCUUAGAAACAACCUGGCCUGUGGUGUUUUGCUGCCACCUCGUGGACACGCUGAAGAAUGCAUCUGAAUAGAAAAGUUCAUGACUCUCCACAAUUUCUUCAGAUAAUAAAUAUAUCUACAGGAAAAUUAAUUUUAAAAACAUUAUUUCAAAAAUGCACUGUGUACAAAACCUGAAAGCUCCUUCCCACAAAAUGCUUAGAAACCCACAAAGAGCUUAGAAACCACCUGGGUUGUGGUGUGUUGCCGCCGCCUUGUGGACACACCGCAGAAUGCAUCUGAACAGAGACACAGCUGGGUGGCCCUCAAUCCACGGUCUCCUCAGAAACAACAGGGACUGGGAGUCGGGCGGUAGCGCAGCGGGUUAAGCACACAGGACGUGUAGCAGAAGGACCAGGAUUCUAUGUGCCCUAUCAAAUAAAAAGAACAAAGAAGGGGAAAAGGAGGGAAAAUAUGGCUGGUGGAAGUGGUGAUUCAUCGCAUCAGCACAGAGCCCAGUGGAUAACCCAGGUAGCAAGAGGAAAGAGAAAUAAAAGAAGAAAGAAAAGCAGUAGGAAAGACUGCAAAUGUUCUUGAAAACCA